UUCAACUCUCAUUGGGAUCCUUACUCUCCAUCAUUAAAAUCCUUUUUGUGUGAUAUUCUCCUCCAGGCACGGUUGCAAAUACACAAGCCGUCAAGGUUAAUUUGGUUUUGUUAAACUAAAGACAUUAGAAGAGUGGAACCGGCUGUGUUUUAAAGAGGACAAUUUAAUUGAAACAACUGUUGCUGGCAACGUAUGUGUAUCGCCACAGUGCAGUGUUGACAAGGCCAAGAUAAGAUAUAUUAUUGGCACUCCCUCCUACCUCAUUGGUUCACAGACUUAGGUCUGUUUGCAACAGAGAAGUCAAUUUUUUCUUUAUAGUGAUUUCCGCUUGAUUUUUCUUUAAUUUGUUCAAUCUAAUGACGAAAAAAAAAAAUACAUACAGUAGGUGAAAAAGGUGUGUAUAAAUCGUUUUUAUUUCCUUUAUGCAUACGGAAAUAAAUCGGAUGUAUCAAAUUAAUUAUUGGCUCGACAAUAAUAAAUUACACUGAAUGAUGUCCUUAAUUGCAAAAGGACACGUUGGCAAUUAUAAAUUUAUAAUCAGUAAGAUAUGACAAACGACUCGCGGGGCAGGGGGGGAGGGGGGUCGAAAUAAAAUUAUUGCAAAAUACGUAAUGUCUUUUCUACCUGACUUCAAGAUGUAAAAAAGCAGAUGGCAUUUUUGACCAUCCAAACUUAGUUACGACCAUGUUGAAGCAUAAAAGAUUACAAAAGCUUGAGGAAAAGGCACCGUGUUUCUUUUUUUUCAAUCCUAGCACGUGAACAAUAUAAAUAGAAUAAUUUAAAGUAUUUGUAGUCUUCGGCUUCAUACGAGGAAUAACUUGUUUUGAUACUAUGAAGAAAGUUGAGGUUCAGCUAUGUUGAUGCACAAAAUCGGCGAGGACUUUGGUACAACAGAAAGUGUCAAGUUUAUGACUUUCGCUAGAUUGCUCUAGUCAUUAGUGUGGAUAAGUAUGUAAAUGGAUAGAGACAGGGAAGCAAACAACACAAGAUGUAUCGUGGUUCACCCAAGUUGGGCUACGUCCACAUUAGUGUCGAUUCCGUUUCACUAUGUAAAUGUGUGGAUUACAAUGGACAAGCAAGGGAGCUCUCUGUGUGAAUUAAAAUGGACAAGCAAGGGAGCUCUCUGUGUGCUGCCCUUUGUGCUUCCCUUUGCUAUCUCUCCCCCCCUCUAGUGAGUGCGAGGGAGCCCUUUUAUAGAAUAAGGGCUUCCUCCCCUUUUACAUGAAUCAUGGGUUAAGUAAUGAAGCCCAAAUACUGAGGCCCAAUAUAUGGUACAACAGGAGUCCCCCAAGUCUUCAGUCAAGAGAUACUUUGGGCUAGAGACUUCAAAUUCAAUCCAUGUGCGGGCCGAAGUGACUAGAUGUCGUCCAGAACUAGUACUCGACCUGAGACGGUGCUUAACGUGAAGCAAUACUCAGCUAGAGGUAGCACACAUUGCAAGGCUGCUCGUCUAGAAGCAAUGCUCGCGGCGACACGGUUGCUCGGCUGGAGGCAGUGCUCGUUGCGAAGCGACUUAGCUUGUGGCGUUCUUCAUUGUGAGUAUGCACUCGACGUCAGCGUGAGCUCAUUAUGAGUUAACUCCUGACAUAACUCGAGUCUGCUUGUCGGGUUCGCAUAUUGGGUCUAUGUGUCGGAUCCACGGAUCGGGUCCACAAGUCAGGUCUUUGAGUCAAGGCCAUACAUAGGGUCUGUGAGUCGGGGUUCGAGCUCAAGGGUGUCCAAGUUUGACGGUGUCUAAUCUCAUAAGUGCCCGAACGAAUGGGUGUCCAAGCUCGCGGGUGUCCAAAUAAGCGAGUGUCCGAGGAAGUGGGUGUCCAGCUAGACAAAAGAUUACCGUUCAGACUAAAUCUUUGUCACCAUAAGAAUGUGGCUCAUCAAUCUAUAAGUUGGUAGGCUUCUUUAUCAGUGACAAUGUUGAUCAAUAGAGUCUAGUUGCUCAAUAAUUCCUGACAAUAAAUGAUAAUAUAAAUAUGACCGUAUAAUGAAUAAAUCAAAUUGACAAAGUUUGCCAAGGAAAAAUAUUGUACUAUGUGCCUUCUAUAAAUAAAUAAUUUAUUCAGUCGGUAAAGGUGUAUAAGUGACACAGUUUAAUGGCAGUCACAAUUCAUGCACAUAUCAGUUUGUACUUGUCACUUGUAUCAGUAGCUGCAUGACUCUAUUUGUCAUGUUGCACAUACCAUGUCAUGAACUAUUAAUCAAAUGCAAAUAGUACUAUCUAAAUAUCAUGCUGACUGUCACUGCGACAAAGAUUGAAAAAAGUGCAUAAAGCAAUUACUUAUAUAUAUAUAUAUAUAUAUAUAUAUAUAUAGUGGCACUUAAUGUAUAGUGAACAAAAUAGGCAGUAUGGCGUGUAUGAAGCAUAUACAGUAAUUACGUAUGAAAAUAAUAUUUAAAUAAUAAAUAUAGUGUUCAUAAUGAUUAAAGUUGUGUUAUUUUAAAAGGGAAGUGGCCGACAUAUUAAUAAAAGAAUAAAGAAUUCUUAUCUUCAUCGUAGUUGUCUCGUGGGUUUUUUCUGAAAGUGGGCAUGGUGGGAACAUGCACUCCCCUUCAUGAUGAAAGUCUUAUCUUUUUCAAAAGUUGGUGGGCAUCUUCUAGUACAACAGAAAGUGGAGACGGGGAACCUUGGUGCAGUGUAGUGGGAACCUUGCACUAGUUCUUAUCUUAUUCAUGAGUGCUUCUCGUGGGUGUUUUUUCAGGCCACUGGUUCAUUGAUCUGCUCGUUAGUGGCGGUCUCAAUUUCGUCAGUGUAUUUCUGAUAGCAAGCGACGGUUUGGAAGCAUGUCAGCUCUUGGCUAAAAUCCGGCAAUAGUGUGGUGAAGAAUCCUGUGCGUCCCGUAAUCGUUCAAGUUGGGUCCUCCAACUAUACAAAUCAAUGGCAGACUCUCACUGUAAGCUCCCGCGAUAGCAUUGAGAACACUGAGCCCACCCACAGUGAAAGUAACAACACACGCCCCGACUCCCCGAGACCGGGCGUAGCCGUCAGCAGCGUACCCGACGUUGAGUUUGUUGCAGCAGCCGAUGUUGGUGAGCCCGGGCUCGGCGAUGAGGUGGGCAAUGAGGGUUAAGUUCAAGUCACCGGGGACAGUGAACACGUCGGUGACACCGAUUUGGACGAGUCGGUGGGCGAUGUGGCCACCCAGAGUGGCGUCAGAGGAGUUGACGGUGGAGGGGGCAAAGCUUUGGAUUGCUAAAGCGGCGCUGUUCGGUAGGCUGUCGACGUCAGUGCACGCAGGCUUGCAGACGUCGAGGGAACCGAUUUUGGUGUCUAUAGGUUUUUGAACUGGGUUUUGAUCGUACUCAAAAACCGUUCUUGAAAACUAUUCGGAAAACAGAAAAUAUGGGAACUUUGCAAUGGGAUUUGAAGACUGCGAUUUGGGUUUUUCUGGGAUUUAUGGAAUUUGGUUUUUUGCAUAUCCACAGUGGAGACAGGUGGUUUGAUGAAAAAAUGAAAGGGAACCGACAUAGCUUUUCGUGUUGAUUUCCACAGACGGCGCCAAAUCUUGAUGCACAAAAAUCGGCGAGGAUUUUGGUACAACAGAAAAUAUCAAGUUUAUGACUUUCGCUAGAUUGUUCUGGUCAGUGGAUAAGUAUGCAAAUGGAUAGAGACAGGGAAGCAAACAACACAAGAUGUAUCGUGGUUCACCCAAGUUGGGCUACAUCCACAUUAGUGUCGAUUCCGUUUCACUAUUUAAAUGUGUGGAUUGCAAUGGACAAGCAAGGGAGCUCUCUGUGUGAAUUACAAUGGACAAGCAAGGGAGCUCUCUGUGUGCUGCCCUUUGUGCUUCCCUUUGCUAUCUUUCCCCCCUAGUGAGUGCGAGGGAGCCCUUUUAUAGAAUAAGGGUUUCCUUCCCUUUUACAUGAAUCAUGGGCUAAGUAAUGAAGCCCAAAUACUGAGGCCCAAUAUAUGGUACAACAAGCUAUAAAAUUAAUUAGCAAUAUAGGAAGUAGCCUAAUUAUUUACAAGCACAUGCAAUGUACCGCUUUUUUUUAUGUGAGAUUGAUACUCUCAACAAAUUAAAUGUUUUGGGGUAAUUUUACACACAAUCUUUGGGUGUUU